UUUAAUUGAAGAGUUUGAUCAUGGCUCAGAUUGAACGCUGGCGGCAGGCCUAACACAUGCAAGUCGAGCGGUAACAUUUCU
rnacentral:rRNA from 1 species